rnacentral:rRNA from 1 species
GAUGAACGCUGGCGGCGUGCCUAAUACAUGCAAGUCGAGCGAACAGACGAGGAGCUUGCUCCUCUGACGUUAGCGGCGGACGGGUGAGUAACACGUGGAUAACCUACCUAUAAGACUGGGAUAACUUCGGGAAACCGGAGCUAGUACCGGAUAAUAUAUUGAACCGCAUGGUUCGAUAGUGAAAGACGGUUUUGCUGUCACUUAUAGAUGGAUCCGCGCCGCAUUAGCUAGUUGGUACGGUAACGGCUUACCAAGGCAACGAUGCGUAGCCGACCUGAGAGGGUGAUCGGCCACACUGGAACUGAGACACGGUCCAGACUCCUACGGGAGGCAGCAGUAGGGAAUCUUCCGCAAUGGGCGAAAGCCUGACGGAGCAACGCCGCGUGAGUGAUGAAGGUCUUCGGAUCGUAAACCUCUGUUAUUAGGGAAGAACAAAUGUGUAAGUAACUAUGCACGUCUUGACGGUACCUAAUCAGAAAGCCACGGCUAACUACGUG